rnacentral:tRNA from 1 species
AGGACAGUAACUCUAACGGUAGAGUAGCGGUCUCCAAAACCGCGAGUUGGGGGUUCGAAUCCCUCCUGUCCUGCCA